ACUGAACCUCUUUCUAUUAAACUUUAUAAAAUAGUAACAAACUUUAACUUAAUAAUAUUUUAAUAUUCUAUCGGAGACAAUAAUUGAAACGUCCUCGAGCGAAUAUUCUUGCAUUGAAUAUCGUAAAAUAGUGGAAUAUGGAAUAUCACGAAAUCUUAUUGAAAAUUUAAAAUAAAUUUCAGCAAAUUGUAUCUAUGGAUCUAAUAUCAAAUUUACAAAUUUCUGCACGAAAUUUACUCUUCCUAAGAUUCCCAUAAAAAUCUGUAGUUUAGCAAUGGUUUUUAUAACGGAACAAUAUCCAGCGAUUUUAAAGGUUUAGAGAUAUUUUAUUUUAUUCCAAAACUAAGGUUCACUAGAGGAUUGGACUCUGCCCAAAAUUGGCGCGAGAGAGAGAGGGAGAGAGAGAGAGAGAGAGAGAGUCGCGGCACGAGCUGCAAUUCAAAUCGA